GGGAGGGAUGGUGUUGUUGACAAAGAAGAAUAAGGCGUCCUCAGGUCUCAGGUGGAUUCUCUUCCGGAUUAAGAAGUAGAACUGGCCAACUGGAUGAUGGAAGAAGAAAAGGGCAGAAAAGAAAGUAAGAAAACAAGGAAUUAGUAGAAGGGUAAGUCCUGGAAAAAAAUUCAAUUGCAUUUUUUCACCUUAGAGUCAGUACCAGCUUUAUAUACCAUCUGAGAAGAGCCAAAUACCGGCCUGGAGCUUUCAAAAUAAAAAGGGAAACUCGGAAGCCCACACAGUCCCUGACUUGCCAUAGUGGAAUUUAUUCCUCCUUUCCCCUCUUAUUCAAUCUCAGACCUCAUGUUAGCAUAUCCACUCAAAGCCUGAGGACUACGUUGAAGGAAUACCAUGUGCAUCCAGACCAAAACAUUCCCAUCACUGUCUAAACCUGACUUGAAACUCUUUCCAUCCCCAGACCCUCCCUAAGAAAAACUUAGCAAUGGAAAGGGGUCCACUGGACUCUGGUCAUCUUAGCACAGUCAGUCACCUCAGUGUUGGGGCAUUAAACAAGGUUCAAUGCUUUGCCUUUACUUGAGAAUACUGAAAAUUUUCUAGAUGGCUGAUAUUCAAACCUAUUAACUCUGGAGCAAAUCAACAAAAUCUUUCCAGUGUGUCCUGGAUGCAGUGUGUAUUCCAUUAAGGAUCACGAUGAAGACUGAAUAUAUGUAUUUUUUUUUUUUCCGAGACAGAGUUCUACUCUGUCACCCAGGCUGAAAGCGCAAUGGCGAAAUCUCGGCUCACUGCAAUCUCCACCUCCCCAGGUUCAAGCAAUUCUCCUGCCUCAGCCUCCCGAGUAGCUGGGAUUACAGGCACCCGCCACCAAGCCCAGCUAAUUUUUUGUAUUUUUUUUAGUAGAAACGGGGUUUCACUGUGUUAGCCAGGAUGGUCUCGAUCUGACCUCAUGAUCCACCCGCCUCAGUCUCCCAAAGUGCUGGGAUUACAGGCGUGAGCCAGGGCGCCCAGCCUGAGUCAUUUUUUAAUCAGAUAACUCCAGAGCAUCCCACUCACUUCCUUCAAGUAUGUACUGCCUCUCAAUCUCACAAUCUCAUGCAUGUAAUGAGGAUCUAGAGAGUUUUUUCACCGGAGGAAGGGUCAGGGAAGGCAAAGAGCAUUACCAGUAAGGUCAGAGGGCACUAGGUACUUCCUCUUGUCCAGAUCAGGCACCCUGGCUUUUGGAGCCUUCUCUACAAUCACCUGGAAGAAGAGGAGGAGAGUAGGAAUGAAAACUACAGAAGGCAAUCUAGUAUUUUUCCUUCUACACCCUAGAGUUGCCUAGUUACUACUGGAAAUGAAUCUGUCUAGGCCCAGGACACCUGUUUCAUUUCUUAUCCCCCCACCCCUUAUAAAAUUAUACAAAAAAAAUAGGCUUCAUGAGGUUAUAGCUGCAUUACUAAAAUAAAAAUAAACUAGAGAUUGUAUAUGAUGAAAAGUAAAAAGAACUUUGAUUUUAAGUAAUUACAGGUUACCUGUAAGAUCUACUAUAGGACAUAUACCUAUUGGUAUUUAUUUAUUUAUUAUUUAUCUUUGAGAUGAAGUCUCACUGUCACCAAGGCUGGAGUGCAAUGGCUCCCUCUCAGCUCACUGCAAUCUCCACCUCCCGGAUUCAAGCAAUUCUCCUGCCUCAGCCUCCUGAGUAACUGGGAUUACAGGCACAUGCCACAACGCCUGGCUAAGUAUUUGUAUUUUUAAGAGAGAUGCGGUUUCACCAUGUUGGGCAGGCUGGUCUCAAACUCCUGACUUCAAGUGAUCUGCCUGCCUUGGCCUCCCAAAGUGCUGGGAUUACAGAUGUGAGCUACCGUGCCUGGCCACCUUCUGGUAUUUAAUUAGAGCAUCAAGAAAACUGGGUUUUCUCAUAUGGUCCUGAUCACCUGUAAGUUAUUAUUUCUCAUAAAUACCAUUUAUUAAAGGUACCAAUAACGUGGUUUAAAUCUUUGUCAAAAUUUCCAAGAACUGUAAAGAUUGUUCAAACAUUAUUAAAUGGAAAAGAAACAGUGUUAAAACAAGUCUGACAAUGAUAUCCUAUAAUAUGAUGUCAGCACAACAAGCCAUUUAUAGAUAUUGAUUAUGUUAGGACUUUAAGGGAUUUUCAAUGUCCACAUUAUAUACUUCUAAUAAAGAUCAUGUAUUUCUGUACUAGAUCUAUAAAAAUAUAAAAGAUUUUUUUAUACACUAAAACUUCCCAAACAGAAAAUAUCUGUUAUAAAAUCAUGAGCUUUAGGCUUUCGAUUGUUAGGAUUUUAAGGGAUUUAUGUCUACGUUAUAUACUUCUAUAGUUCAAGUUGUAAAAAAAUCAUGUAUUUCUGUACUAGAUUUAUCAAAAUUUAAAAGAUAUUUUUAAUACACUAAAACUUACCAAACAGAAAAUAUCUAUUGUAAAAUCAUGAGCUUUAGACUUUUAGUUUAGAAAAUAUAAUCAUUGCCGGGCGCAAUGGCUCAUGCCUGUAAUCCCAGCACUUUGGGAGGUCGAGGCGGGCGGAUCAUCUGAGGUCGGGAGUUCGAGACCAGCCUGACCAACAUAGAGAAACCCCAUCUCUACUAAAAAUACAAAAUUAGCCAGGCAUUGUGAUGCAUGCCUAUAAUCCCAGCUACUCAGGAAGGCUGAGGCAGGAGAAUCGCAUGAACCUGGGAGGCAGAGGUUGCGGUGAGCCAAGAUCGUGCCACUACACUCCAGCCUGGGCAACAAGAGCAAAACUCGGUCUCAAAAAAAAAAAAAAAAAAAGAAAAGAAAAUAUAGUCAUUUUAGUUAGAACAUAUGGGAAAUGCAGAAAAAAAAGUGAAGACGCAGAAAAAAAAAAAACUGUAUGAGUACUUCUAGUGGCUGUGUGAUCUUCAACAGGUCACGUAACCUCUCUCUCAGCUUCAGUAUUCCAGUAACUUUUUUUUUUGAGGUCGAGUGUCACAUGUGUCGCCCGGGCUGGCGUGCAGUGGCCUGAUCUCGGAUCACUGCAACCUCCACCUCCUGGGCUCAAGCGAUUCUCCUGCCUCAGCCUCCGGAGUAGCAGGGAUUACAGGCGCAUGCCACCACGCCCGGCUAAUUUUUGUAUUUUUUAGUAGAGAUGGGGUUUCACCAUGAUGCCAGGCUGGUUUCGAACUCCUGACCUCAAGUGCUCCACCCGCCUCAGCCUCCGGAAGUACUGCGAUUACAGGUGUGAGCCACCGUGCCCAGCUUGAAAAGAAAACUUUCUAACACGUCUUUAACAAAGUCAUGGUAUUGAUAUGAUGUGAAUGUGAGUAAUAAAUAACAUUUUACAGGAAAAUGCUUCAUAAAUUAUAAAGAAUUAUCUAACAUAAUUAACUUGGGGGGGAGUUUGAACUUUUUAAAUUAAAAGGAACAAAUUAAAAUUAGUAAAAAAAAAAACAACAAAAACAAAAACAAAACAAAACAAAAAGUUGUUUUGUGUUCUUGUAGAAAAAAUCCUGAACCAGGAAGACCAGAGGGACAUGAUCACAUUUUAAAUUUAAAAAUAAAAACUGAAAUAGGGUAACGUAAGCCAGGAAUUAAAAGGAAAAGGCAGAAAGAGGCUAGCAUUGUGCCCCAAAGGAACUCGGACACCUAGCAGUAAGAGAUAAAAACCACAAAGGAAGACAGAUAAAGAAAGUGAUAAAGCAGAGGGCAAUACCUGGAGGGAAGGGAGGGGUUUGGAGAGGAAGAGAAGGGGGAGGGGUAAUCAUUAAAAUAUUGGUUUCCCAGUACCAAGGUUAAGUUUCCAGGAAUCCCAGCUCUACUCCUCACUAUGGUAGACCCCUGGGCUAGAUGCUUUGCCUCUUUGGGUCUCAGUUUUCCUCAUUUGUAAAAUGUGACUAAUACUCAGUAGGGUUAUGAAUUUUUAAAAUAGACAAUCUGUUCCUAACAGUUUUUUUGAUAUGUUGUAUCUUUGAAGAUAAUUUCAAGAUCCCACCAACCCUUCCUCUCUGAAGGCACAAGCACACCUCUUCUUUUCAACGCUGGCUCUGAAGAAAUAUUGGUGGGGCUAAGUUCUGGUUAUGCGAGCAGUCAGGGUACGCCAUUGCUUUAAUAACACCAAUGGUCAAGCUGGAAUGGGCUUCAGGAAUCAUUACUCUAACCCUCUUUUCUGUAAACAAGACACUCUAGCACAGCACGAUUAAGAGUUCUGCCCAAGGAUGCAAUGAAUUCCCAGAACUAGAACCAAAUCAAGGAACCUGCGUCAUAACUAGAAAGAAGGUCACAGACUGGUCACCUUGGGAGCAGCUCACCACUGGUUAAAACAUAACCCUAGGAAAGCUGAAAUCUGAGUGACAGGCUUAAUGGCUUAAAAAUUAUCACAGGAGUAAAACAUUUAACACCAAACUAUGAGCAGGAAAAGAACAGAAUGCUCUAAAAUAUUCAGAGUGAAUGCACAUAAAUAUUUAUCUAUUUCCAAUACUUAACAGUGUAAAGUCCACAGCACGUCAUUAAUUCUGGUUAAUACAACUAUAUUAGAAACUGAGAAACAAUAUGGCAUGGAGGUUAAGAUACCCGAGAGCUCCACAGUCCUUCAGACAGGGUUGGAAUUCCAGCUCAACCACAGAUCAGCAAUGUGAAACCUUUAGGAAGUUACUGCAUUUCUUUGUGCUUUGAAUACUCCAUCUGUAGAACGGGUAAUCGUGUAAGGAA
rnacentral:lncRNA from 10 species